UUUUUUUUAGGGCCACACCUGCAGAUGUUCUCAGGCUAGGGGUCAAAUCAGAGCUGUAGCUGCUGGCCUACACCACAGCCCCAGCAGUGUGGAAUCCAGGCCACAUCUGUGACACAUACCACAGCUCACAGCAACAUUGGAUUCUUAACCCACUAAGUGAGGCCAGGAAUUGAACCCAGGUCUUCAUGGAUACUAGUUGGAUUUGUUACCACUGAGUCAUGAUGGCAACUCCCUAUAAUUAAUUUUUUUAUGAGGUUGCGGUACCAUUUUAAUUUCUUUUCUUCCUUAAUGCUUGGCCAGAAUAAUGUCUAUGUAAUUAGGUAAAACAUUCUUCACGCUGUCGAAUUGAGAUACUAUUACCUAGAUGAAUUUUGGUUACUCUGGGUUUUUUUCCUUUUUUCUUGAUCUAUUUAUCUGUACUUAAUGUAGCUUUUUAUUGACUGAUUUCCCAAACUUUUUAUUAUGAAAAAUUUUGAGCAUAUAGCAAAGUUGGCAUAUAGUGAAUGCUCAUCACCAGAUUUAAUAAGUAGCAUUUUGCCAUAUUUUUUCUAACUAUCUCCAUAUGUAUAUUCCCAUAAAUAUUCUUUUUUUUCAAAUCUCAGGAAUUAGACAAUAGAUCGUGGACAUCAUGAUGUUUCAUCUGUAAAUAUUUAUUACUUUUUAAUUUUUUUAUUACUUUUUUAUUCUUUUGCUUUUUUUUUUUUUUUAGGGCCCUUGGCAUAUGGAGAUUCCUAGGCUAGGGGUCCAAUCAGAGCUGUAGCCGCCAGCCUACGCCAGAGCCACAGCAACACAGGAUCCGAGCCGUGUCUGUGACCUACGCCACAGCUCAUGGCAAAGCCAGAUCUUUGACCCACUGAGCGAGGCCAGGGAUUGAACCUGAAACCUCAUGGUUCCUAGUCGGAUUUGUUUCUGCUGUGCAAAGACUGGAACUCCAGCCAUAAAUAUUUAAUAUGCUCAUUCUAGGACUUAAAGUAUUAUGUAUAAAACAAUCCCCUUAGCAAUCUUUAUACCAUGGCAAUGACUUCUUGGAAUCUAGGCCAGUUAUCUUUUACAAUUGCUCCAUGUUCUGGAUUUGUCUGAUUCCUUUGUGGUGUGAUUUACUUGUUCCUUAAAGCCUUUUUGUUUUCCAUAAAUUUAUUAUUUUAAACUGUAUGCCUCCUUUUAAGUGUUUCCAUUCUAUAUUCCAAUUUAUGCAAAUGUUCUAAGAAUAUUUUUUGAUAAAUAAUUCUGUGGGGCUAGAAAGAAAAAUGUACUGUUUCUUAGUUCAAGAAUGCCCUCUUCUGUUGGCAUAGUGAAGUGCAGCCUCUUUUCUAAAGGAUGUGUGGGCAUGGAGGUUUCUCCUUCUGAUUCUGUGAUACCAGUUUGUUUCAGCAUAAACUUUAUUUUCUCUUUCUUCUUUUCCUUUAUCCAUCAAGCUUAGAGUGGAUACCUCCCCCUUCUAAGGGCUACUUACCUUAGAUGUCUGUGUUCCUCCCCUAUCAGUAUUUUCUUUUUCCAUGUAAAUUCCUCUAAUUUUUCUCUCCAGUGAGGACUUGAUCAUUGACAUUGCUGGCCUUAGAUGUUUGUUUUUGCCUAUUUACUUGUAAAUUGAAGUUUGAAAUGUUAUUUGUCUCUUACUCAUAUUACUAGUAUGUCCAUUGGGUAGUUUAUUUAUUUUUCUUUUGGUCUCUGGAUUUUAGAAUAUUUAGUAGAAAUUUGAUUUAAAUUUGGAUGACUAUCAUUUUCCCAAAGGAAUCUGAAUAUCUACUGUAAGUUUUGUAAUUUGGUAAGGAAAUGACCUUUUUUAAAAAACUAGAUAAUCCAUUAUAUCAGCAUUUUGUUGAAUUUUAGGACAUUGUUACUGAAUUACUUUCUCAUUGAUCUGAAUCAUUUCUUGGUCAUGUAUCAAAUUUUUAUACAUCUGCGGGUCUAUUUUUGAAGUUUGUAUGUUGUGUAUUUGCUUAGUUGGUCUGUCCCUGCACUAAAACCUGUCAUCCUUGUCUUAGGUUUGUAAGUCGUGAUUUUUGGUAAGGCAAAUACUUCUUCCCUUUACUUAUAAGGAUUAUCUCAACAGUUUUUGACCUUGCACUCUUUCAAAUUUUUGGAAAUCAGCUUAAGAAAUCCUCUUGGAGGCUUGAUUAUUAGGCAGUACUUUGGGAAGACUGGACAUCUUAAGAUAUUAAGUCUUCCUGUACAUGAACACAGACUAUUUAUUUUAGUAUUCUUUAAUGUCUCAUUAAAAUUUUUUCUUUUUUUUUCUCAAAAAUUUUCACUUUUUUUGUUUUGUUUUUGGUUGGUUGGUUUAUUUCUAUAUACCCAAAAUAUUUUUAUGUUAAAAAUAUUGUCUUUUUUAAAUUAUAAAACUUUAUUGAAAAAUUUUAGAAGGUAUAAAUAAAUAGACAUAUUUCUGCUUAGAAAAACAAUAUUACAAAGAUGUAAGUUCUCUCCAAAUUCAUCUAUAGAGUCAACACAUUUUCUUUCUUUUUUUUAAUAUGGCCACACCCCAUGGCAUCUGAAAGUUCCUGGGCUAGGGGUUGAAUCAGAGCUACAGCUGAGGCCUACACCACAGCUCACAGCAAUGUCAGAUCCUUAAACCAAUGAGCGAGGCCAGGUAUCUGACCCGUGUCCUCAUCAAUAUUAGGUUCAUUACUGCUGAACCAUGACAGGAACUCCGUCUUUAUUAUUAUUAUUAUUGAGGUAUAGUUGUCACAUAAUGUUCUGUUAGUUUCCGUUGUACAACAUCAUGAUUCGAUGUUUGUGUAUAUUGCAAAAUGAUCACCACAGAUAAGUCUAGCUAACAUCCAUCACUAUGCAUAAUUACAGAAUCUUAUCUUGAGAACUUUUGAGAUUUACUGUCUUAGCAACUUUCAAAUAUGCAAUACAGUAUUAUUAACUACAGUCCCCAUGCUGUACAUUAGACCCCAGGACUUAUUUAUUUUAUAACUGGAAGUUUGUACCUUUUGAUUCCCUUUACACAUUUCAUCCACCCCUUGCCUCUGGUAUCCACCAGUCUGUUCUCUGUAUCUGUGCAUUUAUUUGUUUUUUAGCUUUCACACAUAAGUGAGAUCACACUGUAUUUAUUUGUCUUUCUCAGAUUUAUUUCACUCAGCAUAAUGCCCUCAAGUUUCCUCAACAGUAUUUUUUUAAUUUUAAAUUUCUAACUUUGUUGCACUGGUGUGUAGUAAUGAAAUUAAUUUAUUUUACUUUGAUUUUAUAGCAAGUUACCUGGCUAAAGUUUAAUUUUUUAAUGAUUUUACUAUAUGUUAUUUUGGGUUUUCUAUCUAUACCAGGAUUUGGCAAAUUACAGUCAGUAGUCCAAAUAGGUCCCUGUUAUUUGGUUUUACAAAUAAGGUUUUGGGAGUUCCCUUCGUGGCUCAGCCAUUAAUGAUCCCAGCUAGGAUCCAUGAGCAUACAGGUUCAAUCCCUGGCCUCACUCAGUGGGUUAAUGAUCUGGAGUUGCUAUGAACUAUGGUGUAGGUCACAGAUGUGGCUUGGAUCCUGCAUUGCUAUGGCUGUGGGGUAGGCUGGCAGCUGGUAGCUCCAAUUCAACCACUAGCCUG
ensembl:lncRNA